UUCGUGUUUUAGCUUACUGUGGACUUCUUGUGUGCUCUGAAGGGUCACAGUUUCAAUUCAAGUAAGCAAAAUACCCUCUUGUUCAAGAUUAUAAAAUGAUAGAAUUCCAGAUCAUUUUGCAAGCGAUGUUUCCUCUACGGGCAGACUAUCAUGAGAAACAACGGGUGUUAGAUAGAAAAUAAGAUAAGGUUAAAGGAACAGGUAAGCCGUGUUGUGAACAGCGUCAAUCAACCAGGUAGAUAGUAAUAGGUUUUUCUAUUGAAAUCUUUGCGGUCAAUGCAAAGCUUUUUGUGUUAUUAUAUUCUUGACAGGGGUUGGAUGUCUGUAUAAGUAUAUAUUUUUGUUUUAGUGGACACCUGCAUCUGCUUAUGUGCGCGACAUGUUUAUGACAACAAUCUAUGUUUUUCAUUUGCUGAUGGUAAUAGGUCGCAUUACAGGAUCUAAACACUACGACGGUAAGUACACAGACACUGUGUAUGUAGCUUGUCAACAACACAGCAGAUCUAUUGAGAGAUAGAAUACUGAAUGGCAUCUUACACUUUUAUUCACCUUCUACCUUGUAAACCUCUUUAUACUACGUGCUCCCAUAUACGACAGGGCUGAUAUGCUAUUUACAUACACAUACUCCCUAUUUCUGCUUUAUAGGGUUGCAGAAAAGACCAGUUCGUGAAGUUCCUGGAUGUCCCUUUCCGACGACAUAUCAUGGAACAUUUCAGUGUGAUACAACAAACUACAUGUACCUGACUCAACUAGAGUGUACACUGACAUGUAACCAUGGUUACUCAAACAAGGGAACACAUUUAGGAUGCUGUGAAGGAACAUGUACGUCUCAUAAGGUGGAUGAAGUGUGUCAUCUCCAGUGUAACUCUGGUUAUAAAGCAUUUUCUUCCGAGGUCAAGUGUCUUCCGAGAGGAUCCUGGUCAACAUCGGCCUCAUGUGCUGAAAUCACAUGUCAACCCCCGCCCAAAGUUACUAAUGGAGUCGUUCACUGUCGGACCAGCAUAAUUCAUAAAUUGGACGAUGUGUGCAUCCUACAGUGUAACUCUGGGUAUAAACUGAAGUCACCAUCCUCUGAAAUCAAGUGUUUGGUCAAUAAAACCUGAUCUGCAACAGCUGCGUGUGUUGAACACAAGUGUCCCCCUCCUCCCUCUGUGUCCCAUGGCCUCUACAACUGUACCGAUGCCCCCCAAGUUUUUGGUGCAGUCUGUGCUCUUCUGUGUGACAAUGGAUACAAACUGGCGUCGGGGGUGAAGACGGUCACGUGUUUGGAAAAUGAAACUUGGACUGCAUCGUUGUCAUGCAUAGAGAAGAAGUGCCUGGUUCCGCAACAUGUGACCAACGGACACCUCAGCUGUAGCACCACCUCUGUCAGGACGGGCACCUCCUGCAGCUUGUCCUGUGAGUCCGGGUUCGGGCCCAGCUUUGGUAUCAGAGAGAGGACCUGUCAGUCUGAUGAGACGUGGUCGGAGUCAACCACCUGUGUAGACAUAUCACCUCCCGUGAUCAUCAACUGUCCUCCCAGUCAGACUCAUUUCCUCAAAGCAAAUGAAACAAGCAUCAACAUCACGUGGUCAAAGGUCAAGGCUAUCGACUCACCAAAAGGAGGCUUUGUGAAUGUGACCUUGACUUCCAGGUUGCGACCCGGAAGGGCUUAUCCAGCAGGGAACUAUACAGUGAAAUAUGAUGCCAGGGAUAAGUCAGGACACAAGGUCUAUCCAUGCUCCUUCACCGUGUCGAUAUCAACUUGUCCAAAAGGAUCCUAUGUUGAUGUAUCAAAGAACAAGUGUGUUCUGUGUCCUACUGGAACAUACCAGGAACAUGAAGGACGUCUCACGUGUGUUCCGUGUCCUACCGGCUUCACGACAGCGUCUGAGGGGUCAGAUUCUUCGAACAGCUGUGAUGAGGUCCCUGUGGUCCUGGCAGUUUCUCCAGUGAUAGCGUGGAACCCUGCUCCCUGUGCCCCACAGGAACAUACCAGACUCGGCCAGGAUCACACCAGUGUGACGCAUGUCCCGUGGGGAGGGUGACGAAAAUGCCGG
rnacentral:misc_RNA from 1 species